UAAAGUCAAAGUAGCAUUGAUAUUUAUGGUCAUGGCAAUUCAAAAAGAAUAAAAAAUAAAAAAUAAUUUUAAAAAAAUAAUAAUAAUAAUAAUAAUAAAAUAAAAAAGCACCCCUGCAUCGUGACGAACGUUUUGACCGUUGCAUGAUCAGAGGUGUGACGAGCGUAACGCAUGCUGUCACGGUCACCACACCCCCAUGACGCCCGUCACGCAUGCUGUCACGAACGUGACAACUUGCUUUCUCGUAAAUGCUUUUGACCGUUGUCAUGACCGUUACUCCUAUUCAUCUCACCUCUUUACCCCCAUUCAACUCACCUCUUUAUCCCCAUUAAUUU
rnacentral:lncRNA from 1 species